GACUCGGUAGUCUAGGAGUAUGACCCUCGCUUAGGGUGCGAGAGGUCCCGGUUUCAAUUCCCGGUCGAGCCCA